rnacentral:rRNA from 1 species
GUCUAAGUGCCUGGAACGGGCCGUCAGAGAGGGUGAGAAUCCCGUCUUUGGGCAGGGUGCCCGUGCCCGUGUGAAGCCUCCUUCGACGAGUCGAGUUGUUUGGGAAUGCAGCUCUAAAUGGGUGGUAAAUUUCAUCUAAAGCUAAAUACCGGCCGGAGACCGAUAGCGCACAAGUAGAGUGAUCGAAAGAUGAAAAGCACUUUGAAAAGAGAGUUAAACAGCACGUGAAAUUGUUGAAAGGGAAGCAGCUUGCGACCAGACUCGGCCUCGGGGUUCAGCCAGCAUUCGUGCUGGUGUACUUCCCCGGGGCCGGGCCAGCGUCGGUUCGGGCGGCCGGUCAAAGGCCCCAGGAAUGUAUCGUCCUCCGGGACGUCUUAUAGCCUGGGGUGCAAUGCGGCCAGCCUGGACCGAGGAACGCGCUUCGGCACGGUGACGACAGCGCAGUAAUGGUCAGACAA